UUUGGAAAUGUUUGACCACGCGUGCACUAGUGCAACAUCGCCUCGGCCAUGUCGAGCACCACCACAUCGCCGGCGUCGUCCACUUCACUGCUGACGACAACGCCUACGUUCUCCAAUUUUUCGAGGGGAUCCGCCGCAUCAAGUUUCUAUGGCCAGAUUGAAAGAACUUCAUAAGAUCACAAUUCGGCAUCAAAAUUAUAAUCAAUUGCACUCGGAGAUAAGUUCUCAAACUACUCAUCAUGUGCAACUAAGUUUAAAUAGUCACUCACAAUCUAAUGAGAAUCAAUUGGGGCAUUCUUCAAUAGAUAUAAUUGAGAGUUACAAAAUGAAGCUGAACAAGCAGAAGAAAAGAGGGCUGGAGGACCUACUUUGUUAACUGAAAUUUGGAAUCUUCCCAAAGAUGAGUGGAUUAUAGUAAAUUUCAAUAAUAGAUGGCAACCUAUUGGAAAAGAAGGGCGUGUACUUGCUAGCUUUUUGGGGAUUAUGGCAGGAAAUGCCAAUUUAACACCCCUUCACAUCCAAGAUUGGCGUGCCUUUCCAAGAAAGGAGAACAAAAGACUAUUCAAGUUGGUAGAGGUAAAAAGAUUGUAAAAUUAAAGCCAUGUACAUUUGAUGCAAAGUUACUAAGUAAUAUUUGUGUUCUUUUUGUUGCAGUCAAAGUUUUUAAUCCCUCCACGUGGUGAAAAAUGGGUCCUAAGAUCAUUAGGGAAGAAAUGGAAGGACUAUAAAUGUGAACUAAAGGGAGAAUACUAUUUCAAAUAUAAAAAUAUUGAUGGUGUAUUGGAGCAUAAACCCGAACGAGUACCAAGAGAUCAAUAGACUUCUCUCGUCUCUUUUUGGAACUCGGAUAAAGUAAAGGAUCCAAGAGUUUUGCAUGCUUGAUGGCCGAAAAGGUAUUUCAUGAACUUAACUUUGGUAAACGAGAAUGUCAACUAUAAGUUUGUUUUGUGACUAUAUAUAAUCAUGUUGUACUAAAUUAGUAAGUUUGUUAGGCUAAAGAUGGAGUUGAACCAUCACAGGCUCAUAUAUUUAUAGAAACUCAUAAGCCACGCAAGGAUAGAAGGCCAAUUGAUGAAGAAUCAAUUCAGAAUAUUGUUCUUGAUCAUUCAAGUACUCAUUACGACAAAAUUGCACAAAAUGCAGGAUGCUCUAGUUUUUUUUUUGGUACACCUCAAUCUAGU